rnacentral:lncRNA from 1 species
GAAAAAGAGAAUUGAGAACAAAAUGCUUGUUCGUACCCUUUUGCCUGACGGAUAUGUCUGAGCUAGAUCCGCAGUAGCAUUAUAAAUAGGUAUUUGCUUGGACUUUCUUUCCUUCGUGCCUUGGAUGCAUUUCUUCUUUUGCAUUUGAUUUUCCUGAGUUGGUAAGUGACACUAGCACCGUGUGUGAGAGGAGAAUGUUUUUGCCAACUGUCUUGUAAUGAACUGGGGGAAAAGCUGCUCAUCAGCUACGUGGUCAGCGUCACCCCUUCGCUCUUGUGUGCUCCCUGUGGGGUCUAAUCACUGUAAAAAAUAAAUUAGCGCACCGAGUUCAGGAACACUAACUCAAUAAAUGCGUUAAUGUCAGAGCAAGUGGCAGUUUUGCCUACCCUGCUGAUAGAAGUGAUUAUUUAUGCUUAAAUAUACUGUGCUGUUAGUGCUUCCAGAGAGCCUGUUAUGGCCUGCCCCUCACUUCUCCAAAAACGAUACAAAUCUUUACCUGUCAGCAUACAGCUCCCCUUAGCCUUCCAAAACAUGCAUGUGGGAACUUCUGUAUUGUAGUGAUCAAGAGUGAGACUUCUCUGAGACCUGAAGCCUUAGGAUGGAGCCAAAACCAGAUGCAGCUGGAUGUGCAGAGUGCCUCAGCACGCUGCAGGUACAGAGAAGUGCUCUGAGGACUUGGACCAUGGUGAACACCAAGAGGCAGAUGAUGUUCAUUACAGAAGUCUCAAGAUGGUGUGCUGUCAUUGCACUCUUGGUCCCUGCAGGCAGCCUCCGUGACGAUGGUGAUGGGCAUCACCUGCAGGAGAAACAGCCCCAGUGAUUCACUGCACUUAGCUCCCCAGGUACAAGUGCAAAAUGGGAAUAGGGGAAAUGCAGGAUUGGUGCUGCUGAUGUUUUCUGUGUACCUCGAACCAUGAAGGAAAGGAAGCGUGUGAUGGAAGCAUGGUGAGGGGUGGGUGGAGAGGACAGACCCCAGGGUUGUGCCAUAUCUUCACUGCCCUCAUAGCAGAAACACAGAGACUGGCUUUGAGCAUUUGUAUAGAAAAUGGAUGGGGAUGGGAGAGAUGAGGAAAACAGCACAUUGUCAAUAUGCGUUGGGGGUGUGCAGUGGAUUUAUGCUAAUGGGAGCCUUGCUCUUCAUGUAAUCCUCUUUGGCCCUUGCUGGGGGGUGGCAACUGGAACAACAUGAAGUCUGUGAACAAAAAGCACUCUGAGCUUUUAUCUGAGCUCAAGUGAAUGGGUUUGUUGUGGGAUUUGUUUAAUUUUGUUUUGGCUUAUGCAUUUCACUGUUUAGACUGUUGAACUGUCUAACAAUGUACCUUGCAGGAAUACUUUCAAACACUUGCUGUGUACAGCUGCGUUUGAAACAAAGUUUAAUUUGAAUUUCCAAGUCUAAUCAUACAAGUUGAUGAUGGUAUGGCUUUAGGGCCAGGGGUAGCUAUUCAGAAAGCUGAGUGGUUCACAAGGUUAUGUGCCACAGGACUAACGCGAUGCUGAGAAAUAAUAGGCUCAUACGGGGCUGGUUUCAGUUUGCAGAGUGUAUAGCACAGCGAUUUAACACAGUUUAGAUGUGCUUGAAGAUCAUCCCUGUUUUU